rnacentral:lncRNA from 1 species
GGAUAUCUAACAACAAUAUUUGAAGAUCAGUUGGAUAUGUAGUCCUGGAGAGCUUUAGAGUCUGGAAAGUCUAAGUUCACCUGGGAACAUCUGGCAAGGGUGAUCUUGCUGCAUCCUCACAUGGUGGAAGUGUCUGUAUGGAGGAGAAAGGCAAACCCUGCAAUGUACUGCUUGGAAACUAUGAUCUAUCCUCACCUUAAUGAUGGCCAUACACAGUUUGUAGAAUCUGUCACUUCAGCAAACCAGAUGGAAUCGGAUGACUUGCAAAUGGAUGACACUGGUGGUGAAAUAAAAGUAGUCAGAUGUACUGCCUCUAGGAAGGGGCAGAUACCCCUUGAUUACCUGCUUCAAAUCACCUUUCAUGUUUUAUUGUUGGAAAUACCCGGUUCGAGGAUCACCUCAUUACCUAUUGCAAAAAUGGAAACAGAUGAAGACAUGGCGAAUGCCAUGAUGGUGCAUUCCACCAGCUUCAGGGAGCACGGCUUCGAGACAGCUGUGCUUAACAGCCUGAAAUCAGCAAAGAUUAAACCCACCCUCCUUGUCUCCGCUGCUCCUUAAAUCAGUGCAACCCCUCCAAAUUAAUGUGAAUUGAAACAUGCAUUGCCUUUCAACUUAAUUGAGUACUUAUUAUGUGUGAAUCAGUGCACAAAAUAAGGGAGAGAAAAUGAGUGAGACAAAAACAUGUGGAGCUUGCUUUUAAUGAAUUUACUAUUAGUUUCAGGAUGCAUAUUGUGUUCUUUUGUUUGUAAUUAGGUAUGUCCCUAAGACAAAAAACAAAUGAACAGAAAAGUGUUCUGUAUUUUAAGCCCCAUUAAUGAAAAAUAAAACACAACAACAACAACAACAACAGCAAACCUGUACUGUGAACAACUGGGGCUUUUUAAAAUUCUAUUUUUGUUCUUGUUCUUCAAGUUCUGAGAGAUACGAUCCAUUGUAUUUUGUAUUAUUUUUGUGGUGCUGAGAUAGGAUCCCUUUUAUUGAUCCCAUAAAUAUUUAAUAGGUUUUCGAGACAGUAAUAUAAUAUAGUUUGAGUUAGUUUGCAUUGAAUUCCAGUUUUUUUCCUUUAGGUGUAGGUUGUCUGCUGGAAAAUAUAUUGAUUGUAUAUUCCUUGGGGGUAGGAAGGUGAAUCACACCUGCUGUCUGUGGGGAUCUACUUUCCAAGCCCUGGGCCCCACCAUUUGGAGUGAGUGAUUAGCUAGAAGAGGAGGAUCUUGUGCCAUCUUGGGGGUGACACUCAUGGGCUCAGCAUUGCACAGGGAGGGGGCAAAACACAUCUGGGCAAUGAUUCUGUAUGAAAUAUGACUAAAUAAUUUUUUCAGUAUUCAUUGCAUUGUUCUUUUUGUUCCAUAAAUUGGGUGACUUUGCAGUUUUUCUAAAGAUUUAUUUCUGAGCUGAAAAUAAGUGUAAGUGAUAAUUUUUCCAGUGUUAUGAUAUUGACAUGACUGUAGCCACUAGACAUUUUAUGUAGUAUCUGUGACACAUAUUAGUAUGUAUGAGCCAACAAUAGACAUGUCUUUGUCUUGAGUAGUGUCCAUCUGAAUAGAAAAUGAACCAGCUUUUCUUUUUUGACAUCAUCAACAGACUUCUUAAUUAAGCUGCCAAUAUAUACUGCCAAUAACACUAUGUGCUAUUUGAGAAAUGAAUAGUGUAAGUGCUGUUUCUAUCUUAUUAAAUAAACAAUGAUGCUCCAUAUAUAAUAGAUUUUAAGUGUUCUUUGAAUGGGAUAGAAUAUUGCUCCCUACACAAUUUGAUGAGAUUUCUCAUACCAUCUCUUUCAAUUUAAUU